UCUCAUGGAUGAAUUUAAAAAGUUGUUUCUUGAGAUGGAAUCUACUCCUGGUGAAGAUGCUGUGAA
rnacentral:pre_miRNA from 2 species